UUGCAGAUAUUCUUCAUUAUUCCAUCAUCAUCUCAAACCUCUUGGGUAUAGUGUUUGACUACUACUGUGACCAUAAAUUCCAAUAAAACCUAGGAAAAAUGAAACCACUACAUUAACUGAAAGGAUGUGCCUGUCACAGUCUCCACCAGAAGCUUUAUCUUACUACAGAGUCCAGAUGCAUUAAGGCUGUGUUCGAGCCAUGAUCUUCCUCUGAAGAAGAAAUGAAGAAGAAAUUUAUCUUAUUUUUGGAUAUAGUGUUCUUAGUUGGCAGUUUAAUUAUUAUUUUUACUUCAUCACUUUGUAUACGUCAUCGCACUUUCUCCUGGCCUAUAAGAUCUCUCCUGAGAAAUUUUACGUUCUACUUUACUGGAACUUCAUUAAAUAUUAUUUGCAUCAUU
rnacentral:lncRNA from 10 species